AUGUUCAGGGUGAUGAAGAGGUCUGCGUACUCAGCCCACAGGCCCCUGAUGCCUGCGUCUAGUGAGGCCUCCAGUGGCAUCGGCAUCUUCAUGUGGAGGAACAUGGAACCUUGCUCUGUGGCCGUGUUCCCCUGGCAUUCUGUCCCCUUCCUGAACCCUCCCUGUAGCCGCGUGAGACCCAGCAACCUGCCAGUCACUCAGUGGCCUCCAACCAGACAAAAGAACCUGCCAAGUCAGCAGCUGUUGCUCAUGAGCGGCCACCAGGUGGGACAGGGAAUUCUGACCCUGGGCGGCCCGCUGGAACCACCUGCCCUGAAAGCCCAGGGCUUGGACCCCCACACACUUUGGGGGUGGUUGAACCUGGUAAGAGCCCACCUCCCACCAUGGAGGAGGAGUCCUGGGCCCCUCAGGGGAGCCCCUGCUGGACAGUGACACAGAGAACGACCAUGAUGAUGCCUUCCUCUCUGUCAUGUCUCCUGACACCCAGUUGCCUCUAGCACCCAGAAGAUGUCAGAUCCAGUCCCUCAGUGCUCUGCCUGGACUCAUCUUCUGAGAAGGAUGAAUGUAGCCCCAACAAAUGGGACAAAGACCACAUCCAGCGGCCCGUAAGUGGCGGUCAUGAUCUUCAGCAAGCAGCACCAAGUCCUGGCGGGGCCCACCAGCAUGGCCCCAACCAACAACCGGACCGUCUGCCAGAUCCUGGGUGAGUGGUGGAACACCCUGGGGCCCAAUGAGAAGGAGAAGUACCAUGACCUGACCUCCCAGGUGAAGGUGGCCCACUUGCAACAAGGACUGAAAGAAGUCCAGCCUGGAGGCGAAGCCCACAAGCCAGGGGCUGGCAGGAGGGUACAAGGGCUCGCGGAAGCACAGCAUGUCAGAGACGGCACUGCCAAUGCCCCUGGGGUGUCCUCUGAGCUCCUGUCAGUUGCAGCCCAGACACUCCAGAGCUGGGAUACCAAGGAGCAGCUUCUGUGGGGCAGAACAGCUGCACACAGUCAGGGAAUCUGGCUCAGCCUGGCCUAAGCCUUCUCCCACAGUGGAGUACACAGCCUGGACAGCAAGGAAGUGGACCGUCAGGCACUACAGGAACUGAGGCAGGUGGUGUCUGUGCUGCAUCAUAUCUGGCCCAAAGCCUUCUGCCUAGUAUGGCGCUCCAGGCCACUUUGCAGUCCCUGGUGAAGGAGGUGACCAGUGGGCAGCCCUGCUGCUGCCCACUUGAGCUGUUUAUUCCCAGCAUGUGGCCAGUGAGGACAUAGCGAGUGAGCAAGAGCACAUGGUCAUCCAUGAGGAGGAAGGGGUGAUGAUGUCAUUGCUGAUGAUGGCUUCAGCACCACUGACACUGAUCUCAAGUUCAAGGAGUGGGUGACCAAUUGAGAGUGGGGGCAGCUCUGGGAAGGAGCCAGAGGGCAACAAGGGCUUUGGUGGGAAGGCAUUUGCACCUGUCAUCCCUUCCUCCUUUACCCCCUGCCGCUCCUUGCUGGAUCCUGAGCUUCCAAGGCCCCCCUGAUCCAUCUGCAGUUUUUGGCAAAGGCUAUGGUCCCGCCCCAUCCUGCUCCUCCACAUACUCGGAUGCUUCCUCCUCAACCUCGGCAGCCACCUCCUUCUCAAUGGGCCCAGAAGCCUUCAAGGCUCAGGAGUCUGGUCAGGGCAGCAGAGCAGGCCCCCCAAGCCUCCUAUCCCCUGGGGCUGAGGGCCCAGAGACACCUUCCAAGGCGACCUGGUUCCUCCCAAUGGAUUCUGCCAUCUUCUGGCGCAAGAGACCUGAAAGUGUGGGCGACCUGGAGCCAGGAGGCCCCUCAGUCAUAGUGGCCCCUCCCGACAGUCUUCCAGGCCCACGGAUUCUUCCAGUUCCCCCGGACACAGCCGCCCCCCAGGCCCGCUAUGCACACAUCUUCCCUUCCAAGGUUUGUUCUGCCCCUGCCCCGACUCCCAGCCCCACGGGGGUCCUGACCACACCUCACCGGGCUAGGGCUCUGGCGCUGCCCCGGCUGCCCCGCCACUGCCCCGCCACUGCCUCUCCACUGCCUCUGGAGUCCUGGGAGGCUGGUAGUCGGAGCAGGGGCAGCAGCGGUGCCAUUUGGGGGUCGGUCCAAUGA